AGGUCUGAAAUGACGAUGGAGGGAACAGGGAAAUGGCGAGGAAGAGAAGGAUAUAUAUUUCAUUGUUGGUAGUCCAUAGAAAAGUAACUUUCUCUUUCUAUUGAAGAUGACGGCUCCUGUGCCCACUCCCAGAGAACCGGUGGAAAAGAGUUGUAAAAAAAACCCUAAGAAAUGAUGAAUUGUAUCCAGAAUGGAAGAAAGCAGUGAUGGUGAAGAGGAUUUGGAUGGAAUAGACAAGGAAAUGACGAAACUUCCAAGAUGCGUAAGUCCAAGAACAGCAUUGGAUGAAGUUAAAGGAAGAUGAACCUCAAAGUAAAGAACAAAAUAUUCAGAUUUUUCAAUCAA